GGGUUGUGAGGUUAAGCGACUAAGCGUACACGGUGGAUGCCCUGGCAGUCAGAGGCGAUGAAGGACGUGCUAAUCUGCGAAAAGCGUCGGUAAGGUGAUAUGAACCGUUAUAACCGGCGAUGUCCGAAUGGGGAAACCCAGUGCAAUUCGUUGCACUAUCGUUAACUGAAUACAUAGGUUAACGAGGCGAACCGGGGGAACUGAAACAUCUAAGUACCCCGAGGAAAAGAAAUCAACCGAGAUUCCCCCAGUAGCGGCGAGCGAAC
rnacentral:rRNA from 1 species